CCCCUGGAGAGUGUGGCAGUGUUGGAUGGAUGGCAUCUGGGGCCACCAGGAGCCUGGGGGGUGGGCACCACACUCCAGGGACGGCUGCAUUUUGCAUCAAAGACAGUGAAUGUCUCAGGCCAUGUAAAUUAUUCUCACUUGCGGCUGCUGGUCCCAGACAAACCUUCUGGUUGCUGCUGGCUCCCAGGCCGGGCCCUCGGUGCCACUGCUCCUGCAUCAGACAGGCCAUGGCUCCAUCCACAGAGCAUUGAGGACUGCAGGCCAAGAGGAGCUGAUUUCCAGAGUCGCAGAGUCAACUCCAGCCCAGCAGGAGCUUCCGGGUCUGCCAGGGUGCAAGAGUGAGCCACCAGCACCAGGAGUGAGCCAUGCAGGAAAGAGCAAGGGUCACAUGGCCUGUUUUCUGCCUAGUAUCAGGAGAGCAUAAAAGACUGCUGCACCCAAGAGGAGAGGCUGUCCCUCCCAGUGGCAAUGCAGUACAUGUCCUAGCCAAGACUUCGAGGGAUCUACAGAAGACCACAGAAGAAGAUCCAAACUCCAUAGUUCCAGCUAUCAGUUCCUGAUUGAUUCCAAUCUUACCUGUAUCCUGAACUCCUGUGUCCUCACCUUGCUGUCCUGAUGUAUUCCAUCCGUGAUGUCCUCUGUCGUGGGUCCAUUCCUCUGAACCUGAUGUAGUAUGCUGUGUACCUCUGUACCUUACUCCGUAAAUUCCCCUUUGUCCUUAUGGGUUUGGGACCUUGACUUUAAGUCAGUUUGUCAUGCCAACCUGUACCUGUAUGCCCUUUGUAUAUUGUUUUGCUGGGGGUCCUAUGAGUUACUGUUUCCUGUUUGAGUCGCUGUUUAUUAAACCAGUUUUCGUUAUAGUUAA